CGGAUGAUUGGAGUAGGAGACGCUGCCCGUCGCUUGCGCGUAGUUCGGCUGUGCGCCGGAGCCGGCGUUCAAGACGACGCCGCCCGU
rnacentral:tRNA from 1 species